rnacentral:rRNA from 1 species
AUGCCUAUCCGAGCCUCCCUCUACACAGAUGACGCGGCGGUUUUCCUUGCGCCCAGCAAAACCGAGGUCAAGUUUUUUGCGGAUACGCUUGCACAGUUUGGGGAAGUGACGGGGCUAACAACGAACUGCUCUAAAAGUCUUGUUGCCCCCAUUCGAUGUGACUCCUUGGGUCUUGAUGAUAUACUCAGCUCCUUCCCCGCCAACCGCACCUCCUUCCCAAUGAAAUAUCUUGGGCUGCCGUUGUCAACCAAGAGGCUCAAAACAAUCCAUUUUUAGCCUCUCGAAGAUAAGAUUGCUGCUCAACUUACCCCUUGGAUGGGCAAGCAUGUUGCGCAGCCGGGACGGGCUGUGUUGGUCAAGUCGGUCAUCACGGCAAUUGUCAUUUACUACUUGACGGUGCUAGACCUACCUGCUCAGGUUAUGAAGAAGAUCGACUCCCUUAGGCGUGCCUAUCUUUGGGCAGGUUGUGACAAGGUCACAUGUGGCAAAUGCAAGAUCAAUUGGGACCAGGUGUGCAAAUCAAAAGUGCAUGGUGGGUUGGGCAUUCUAAAUGUGAAAAAAAUUGCAGCGGCCCUCUGA